rnacentral:rRNA from 1 species
ACCUACGGGGGGCAGCAGCGAGGAAUAUUGCGCAAUGGGCGAAAGCCUGACGCAGUAACGCCGCGUGCGGGACGAAGACCUUCGGGUUGUAAACCGCUUUUAAGAGAGACGAGUGAGGACGGUAUCUCUGGAAUCAGUCUCGGCUAACUACGUGCCAGCAGCCGCGGUAAGACGUAGGAGGCGAGCGUUAUCCGGAUUCACUGGGCGUAAAGCGCAUGUAGGCGGCUGGGCAAGUCCGUUGUUAAAGCCCCUGGCUCAACUGGGGGAGGCCAAUGGAGACUGUUCGGCUUGAGGACAGCAGAGGAGCGUGGAACUCCCGGUGUAGCGGUGGAAUGCGUAGAGAUCGGGAAGAACACCAGUGGCGAAGGCGGCGCUCUGGGCUGUGCCUGACGCUGAGAUGCGAAAGUGUGGGGAGCGAACGGGAUUAGAUACCCUAGUAA